rnacentral:rRNA from 1 species
UACGGGGGGAGCAAGCGUUGUUCGGAUUCACUGGGCUUAAAGGGCGCGUAGGCGGGUGAUCAAGUCCGGGGUGAAAUCCUUCAGCUCAACUGGAGAAUAGCCUUGGAUACUGGUCGCCUCGAGGGAGGUAGGGGCGGGCGGAACUUCCGGUGGAGCGGUGAAAUGCGUAGAUAUCGGAAGGAACGCCGGUGGCGAAAGCGGCCCGCUGGACCUCUUCUGACGCUGAGGCGCGAAAGCCAGGGGAGCGAACGGG